CGUGUAGGCGGACUCGCAAGUCGGUUGUGAAAUCCCUGGGCUCAACCUAGGAACUGCAUCCGAAACUGCUUGUCUUGAGUAAUGGAGAAGGUGGCGGAAUUCCCGGUGUAGAGGUGAAAUUCGUAGAUAUCGGGAGGAACAUCAGUGGCGAAGGCGGCCACCUGGACAUUUACUGACGCUGAGACGCGAAAGCGUGGGGAGCAAACA
rnacentral:rRNA from 1 species